GUGCCAGCAGCCGCGGUAAUACGUAGGGGCCGAGCGUUGUCCGGAGUUACUGGGCGUAAAGCGCGCGCAGGCGGCGCAUCGCGCCCGGCGUGAAAGCCCCCGGCUCAACCGGGGAGGGUCGUCGGGGACGGGUGCGCUUGAGGACGGCAGGGGCAGGUGGAAUUCCCGGUGUAGUGGUGAAAUGCGUAGAGAUCGGGAGGAACACCCGUGGCGAAGGCGGCCUGCUGGGCCGAUCCUGACGCUGAGGCGCGAAGGCGUGGGGAGCGAACGGGAUUAGAUACCCCGGUAGUCC
rnacentral:rRNA from 1 species